GUCAUAUAAAGAUGUAUUAGAUGCAAGACAAUCUAGCAUUUCCCUUUAUGGCAUUGUAUUAAAUUUAGAAGUUCAAACAAAAGUAAUUGUUGUGUGGUUAAUAAUCGAAACAGUUUGAGUUUGGAUGGAAGAGGUUAACUGUAUGACCUUGUGUUGAGAAACACUAGAAACAAUCUUAAAUAACAAUUUCUUAAUUUUCAUUAUUUUGAGUUACAGUAUC
rnacentral:ncRNA from 1 species